UACGUAGGUCCCGAGCGUUGUCCGGAUUUAUUGGGCGUAAAGCGAGCGCAGGUGGUUUAUUAAGUCUGGUGUAAAAGGCAGUGGCUCAACCAUUGUAUGCAUUGGAAACUGGUAGACUUGAGUGCAGGAGAGGAGAGUGGAAUUCCAUGUGUAGCGGUGAAAUGCGUAGAUAUAUGGAAGAACACCAGUGGCGAAAGCGGCUCUCUGGUCUGUAACUGACGCUGAGGUUCGAAAGCGUGGGUAGCAAACAGG
rnacentral:rRNA from 1 species